UGUUUCGGCUAGGGGGCCAUCCCGGCUUACCAACCCGAUGCAAACUGCGAAUACCGGAGAAUGUUAUCACGGGAGACACACGGCGGGUGCUAACGUCCGUCGUGAAGAGGGAAACAACCCAGACCGCCAGCUAAGGUCCCAAAGUCAUGGUUAAGUGGGAAACGAUGUGGGAAGGCCCAGACAGCCAGGAUGUUGGCUUAGAAGCAGCCAUCAUUUAAAGAAAGCGUAAUAGCUCACUGGUCGAGUCGGCCUGCGCGGAAGAUGUAACGGGGCUAAACCAUGCACCGAAGCUGCGGCAGCGACACUGUGUGUUGUUGGGUAGGGGAGCGUUCUGUAAGCCUGUGAAGGUGUGUCGUGAGGCAUGCUGGAGGUAUCAGAAGUGCGAAUGCUGACAUAAGUAACGAUAAAGCGGGUGAAAAGCCCGCUCGCCGGAAGACCAAGGGUUCCUGUCCAACGUUAAUCGGGGCAGGGUGAGUCGACCCCUAAGGCGAGGCCGAAAGGCGUAGUCGAUGGGAAACAGGUUAAUAUUCCUGUACUUGGUGUUACUGCGAAGGGGGGACGGAGAAGGCUAUGUUGGCCGGGCGACGGUUGUCCCGGUUUAAGCGUGUAGGCUGGUUUUCCAGGCAAAUCCGGAAAAUCAAGGCUGAGGCGUGAUGACGAGGCACUACGGUGCUGAAGCAACAAAUGCCCUGCUUCCAGGAAAAGCCUCUAAGCAUCAGGUAACAUCAAAUCGUA
rnacentral:rRNA from 1 species